rnacentral:rRNA from 1 species
AUUGAACGCUGGCGGCAUGCUUUACACAUGCAAGUCGAACGGCAGCACGGGUGCUUGCACCUGGUGGCGAGUGGCGGACGGGUGAGUAAUGCAUCGGAACGUGUCCUAAAGUGGGGGAUAACGCAUCGAAAGAUGUGCUAAUACCGCAUAUUCUCUGAGGAGGAAAGUAGGGGAUCGAAAGACCUUAUGCUUUUGGAGCGGCCGAUGUCUGAUUAGCUAGUUGGUAGGGUAAUGGCUUACCAAGGCGACGAUCAGUAGUUGGUCUGAGAGGACGACCAGCCACACUGGGACUGAGACACGGCCCAGACUCCUACGGGAGGCAGCAGUGGGGAAUUUUGGACAAUGGGCGCAAGCCUGAUCCAGCAAUGCCGCGUGAGUGAAGAAGGCCUUCGGGUUGGUUAAAGGUACUCUUUCUAGUUGUAGAAGAAAAAGUUAGUAGACUAAUAAUACAUGAUUCAUGACGGUAUCAACAGAAGAAGA